rnacentral:rRNA from 1 species
UACGAAGGUCCCAAGCGUUAUCCGGAUUUAUUGGGUUUAAAGGGUGCGUAGGCGGGCUAUUAAGUCAGUGGUGAAAGCUCCAUGCUCAACAUGGAAACUGCCAUUGAUACUGAUGGUCUUGAGUACAUUUGAAGUGGGCGGAAUGUGUCAUGUAGCGGUGAAAUGCUUAGAUAUGACACAGAACACCGAUUGCGAAGGCAGCUCACUAAACUGUAACUGACGCUGAGGCACGAAAGCGCGGGGAGCAAACAGG